GACGAACCGAGCGAACGUUGUUCGGAAUCACUGGGCUUAAAGGGCGCGUAGGCGGGUGAUCAAGUCGGUGGUGAAAUCCUGCAGCUCAACUGCAGAACAGCCUCCGAUACUGGUCGUCUCGAGGAAGGUAGGGGUGUGUGGAACAGUUGGUGGAGCGGUGAAAUGCGUUGAUAUCAACUGGAACUCCGGUGGCGAAGGCGACACACUGGACCUUUUCUUGACGCUGAGGCGCGAAAGCCAGGGGAGCAAAGCGGG
rnacentral:rRNA from 1 species